GGGCGCUUAGCUCAGCGGUAGAGCAUCUCGUUUACACCGAGAGGGUCGGAGGUUCGAAACCUUCAGCGCCCA
rfam:Deltaproteobacteria bacterium RIFCSPLOWO2_02_FTLL_46_8 rifcsplowo2_02_scaffold_11779, whole genome shotgun sequence.